rnacentral:rRNA from 1 species
CAGCAGCCACGGGAAUACGGAGGGUGCAAGCGUUAAUCGGAAUUACUGGGCGUAAAGCGCACGCAGGCGGUCUGACAAGUCAGAUGUGAAAUCCCCGGGCUUAACCUGGGAACUGCAUUUGAAACUGUCAGGCUGGAGUCUUGUAGAGGGGGGUGGAAUUCCAGGUGUAGCGGUGAAAUGCGUAGAGAUCUGGAGGAAUACCGGUGGCGAAGGCGGCCCCCUGGACAAAGACUGACGCUCAGGUGCGAAAGCGUGGGGAGCAAACAGGAUUAGAUACCCCAGUAGUCCCUGUCUCUUAUAC